GACGAACGCUGGCGGCGUGCUUAACACAUGCAAGUCGAACGGAAAGGCCCUGCUUUUGUGGGGUGCUCGAGUGGCGAACGGGUGAGUAACACGUGAGUAACCUGCCCUUGACUUUGGGAUAACUUCAGGAAACUGGGGCUAAUACCGGAUAGGAGCUUCUGCUGCAUGGUGGGGGUUGGAAAGUUUCGGCGGUUGGGGAUGGACUCGCGGCUUAUCAGCUUGUUGGUGGGGUAGUGGCUUACCAAGGCUUUGACGGGUAGCCGGCCUGAGAGGGUGACCGGCGACAUUGGGACUGAGAUACGGACCAGAGUCCAACGGGAGGCAGCAGUGGGGAAUAUUGCACAAUGGGCGGAAGCCUGAUGCAGAAACGCCGCGUGCGGAAGGACGGCCUUCGGGUUGUAAACCGCUUUCGCCUGUGACGAAGCGUGAGUGACGGUAAUGGGUAAAGAAGCACCGGCUAACUACGUG
rnacentral:rRNA from 1 species